rnacentral:lncRNA from 1 species
AUGAGUAGGGCUAUCAUUGAAGAGUAUAUUCAAGAGGUGGAAAAGUUAGCCUAUAGGUUGCUUGAACUCGUAGCUUUGAGCUUAGGACUAGAAGCAAAGAGAGUAAUGGUUAACUCUGCGAGAGAAAGGUUUUCAAUUCCCUUCUUUUUCUUCCCUGCGCAUUACACCGAAGUCAAGCCUUUGGAGGAGCUGACAAAUGAGGAAAAUCCUCCAAAGUAUAGACCUUACAACUGGGGGGAGUUUCUUGUGAACAGAAAGGCUUAA